GGUCAGUGAUGAUUGUUGGCAUGUAUUAUCUGAUCUAAAGUUGAUGUUCAUCACCACUUCAGCUCUAGAAUUACUCUGAGACCCA
ensembl:snoRNA